rnacentral:sRNA from 1 species
AUGCACCGAAACACGAGGUUAUCGGCAGAGUCUUCUAU